AAAGCGUCUCUCCAGCUGCAGCCCAACCCGGUGGGAGUCAAUUAAUUCUGAAUAACCUAAACCGACAGAGGUAUUUGCAUUCACAACCUGACUGAUGACCGUAUAAAAUUGAUUUAUGAAUUGAAGUGCUUCCCCUCCCCUUAUCCCCGAUUCAAGCCAUAAUUGAUUAUAUGUGCUGCAGCGAAAUUAAAGAAAAGAAAAUUAAAACAAGAAAAGAAAAAAGGGAGGCCCCACAGAUGCUGCUCUAUAUUCUCAAGGUUUCCCGGGAUUAGCCGAUCUAUUCAUCGCUUAUCAUUUUUUAUUUAAAAAGUUGCUUCCCCUCCCCACCCCGGCGACCACCACCUCCCACUCCGGGAUGCAGCCCAGUGCGAAGGACCGAGAGAGGUGGAUGGGAAGGUGCAGUCCGACUGCCAGGAAACUAGCAAUUUGGCUGCCCUACAGACAUAGUAGACAUGGGACUGGAAGGGUUCUCAAACCUGAUGCCCUUACUGGUGGGGAAGGAGAGCCCGUUCUUAAACCUGUGUUGAGAGCAAUAACAAUUGUAGACCUCAAUCCUGCAGAGGCAUAAGCACACACUUAACUUUAUGCCUUUUGAGUAGUCCCAUUGUGAUCCUUUGCAGGAUGGGGACUUGACUUUGCCCUUCAACGGUGCUUUCUGUCUGACGAUCUCUAAUACCACCACCUGCAUGGUGUCUUUCAUCCAUACAUCGCACAGCAUCCAUACCCACAAAGAUUUAUACAGAUGGGAAAACGACUGUAAAGAGAGGUGAGGUGACUAGCCUAAGGUCACCCCAGGGUUCAGUAGCAAAGUCAAGAACAGCAGAUGAAGGAAGAACAAUAGCAAGAAAGAAAGAGAAUGGAAUUGAUGUCUCCAUUAGAGAGCACAGGGUGUGUGUCUCCACCACAUCAAGCAGCAGCAACUCUGAGAACAAAAUGGUGGUUGGAGCUGCAAAUUAAAGUUACAGUACACAGAAAAUAAAGGCAUAAUGCAGAAAAUAAA